CCAACGGCCCUCUUUAGGGCCACAAAUAAUCGAACUGAAUACUUG
rfam:Ancylostoma duodenale strain Zhejiang A_duodenale-1.0_Cont11205.1, whole genome shotgun sequence.